GCAAACAGGAGGCUGGGUCUCAGCAUGCACCGCAGCUCUCUCGUCCUCACUGCCUUCCUGGGACAGCUGCUGGAUGCCGUGGGGCAGACCAUUGUCAGCCAGCAAGAAGGACAGGUCACAGUGGAGGAGAGAAACACCUUCCAGACCACCUGCACUUACCAGGCCUCCAGCUUUUAUGGCUUGUUUUGGUACCAGCAGAAGAAAGGCCAAGCCCCCCAGCUGGUCACAUAUCACACAGCAGCAGGCUCCAAGCACAACGGCCGUUUCACCACGGGGCUGAACACCACUGGGAAAAACAGCCUCCCGCAGCUGGCAGAAGUCCAGCUGUCUGACAGCGCCUUGUACCUCUGUGCUGUGCAGGACACCCUGGUGCAGGGAGCUUCCUCGGCCGUGCAACAGCCCCAGUGAGGGAGGGGCUGUGUCUGUUGGAGGCGGAGCUCUGGGGAAGGGGCCCUCAGCUCUCCCCCGGCAGCGCUGCUUCCCCUGUGCGCACAGAGAUCUGCAGGUCAGCAUCCUCUUCCAGAUGGGAAGCACUCGCACCUGGAGCAAGCCCGACUGACGCCGGCGCAGGGCGCAGCCCCGGGGCGGAGCUGGCGGCGGCGGCGGGGAGGAGGCG